GACGAACGCUGGCGGCGUGCUUAACACAUGCAAGUCGAACGGUAAGGCCCUUCGGGGUACACGAGUGGCGAACGGGUGAGUAACACGUGGGUGAUCUGCCCUGCACUUCGGGAUAAGCCUGGGAAACUGGGUCUAAUACCGGAUAGGACCCUGGGAUGCAUGUCCUGGGGUGGAAAGCUUUUGCGGUGUGGGAUGGGCCCGCGGCCUAUCAGCUUGUUGGUGGGGUGAUGGCCUACCAAGGCGACGACGGGUAGCCGGCCUGAGAGGGUGACCGGCCAACGGGGGGCUGAGAGACGGCCAAGACUCCCAGGGGAGGCAGAGGUGGGUGAUAUUGCACAAUGGGCGAAAGCGUGAUGCAGCGACGCCGCGUGGGGGAUGCCGGCCUGCGGGUGGAAAACCUCUUUCAGCCCCGACGAAGCGAAAGUGAGGGUAGGUGAAGAAGAAGGACCGGCCAACUACGUGCCAGCAGCCGCGGUAA
rnacentral:rRNA from 1 species